rnacentral:rRNA from 1 species
UACAGAGGGGGCAAGCGUUGUUCGGAAUUACUGGGCGUAAAGGGCGCGUAGGCGGCCUGUUAAGUCGAACGUGAAAUCCCCGGGCUCAACCCGGGAACUGCGUCCGAGACUGGCAGGCUCGAAUCCGGGGAGAGGGAUGUGGAAUUCCAGGUGUAGCGGUGAAAUGCGUAGAUAUCUGGAGGAACAUCGGUGGCGAAGGCGGCAUCCUGGACCGGUAUUGACGCUGAGGCGCGAAAGCCAGGGGAGCAAACGGG